rnacentral:tRNA from 1 species
CGGGAAGUAGCUCAGCUUUGUAGAGCACUUGGUUUGGGACCAAGGGGUCGCAGGUUCGAAUCCUGUCUUCCCGA